UGCGAGUGAAGCGGCAACAGCUCAAAUUUGAAAUCUGGCCUCCUCGGGGUCCGAGUUGUAAUUUGUAGAGGGUGUUUCGGGCGCGAUGCCGGUCUAAGUUCCUUGGAACAGGACGUCGUAGAGGGUGAGAAUCCCGUAUGCGACCGGCGAUCAAGCCUGUGUGAAGCCCCUUCGACGAGUCGAGUUGUUUGGGAAUGCAGCUCAAAAUGGGUGGUAAAUUUCAUCUAAAGCUAAAUAUUGGCCAGAGACCGAUAGCGGACAAGUAGAGUGAUCGAAAGAUGAAAAGCACUUUGGAAAGAGAGUCAAACAGUACGUGAAAUUGUUGAAAGGGAAGCGCUUGCAAUCAGACCGGUCCGGAGGUGAUCAGCCGCUGCUCGUCAGCGGUGCACUCGCCUGCGAUCCGGCCAGCAUCGGUUUGGGCGGUGGGAUAAAAGUCCCGGGAAUGUAGCUUCCUUCGGGGAGUCUUAUAGCCCGGGUCGCAAUGCCGCCCGCCUGGACCGAGGACCGCGCUUCGGCUAGGAUGCUGGCGUAAUGGUUGCAAGCG
rnacentral:rRNA from 1 species